UGGCUCUUAGCAGCAAUCGCCCCCCUCUGUCGAAUGCACCAAAGUACCGAAUAGCGCUCUUCUAGUUAUUCGGUAAGCAGAGUUCCAGCGUUCGUCUGAGACCGGUGUUCGUGGAGUUUCCGAUUUCAGUUCCAUACACUCGACGACCAAGUCCCGCUGCCUUUGUGCGUAUGAACAAAGUUUGAGACCGGUGUUCAUGGAGUUUCCGAUUUCAGUUCCAUACACUCGACGACCAAGUCCCGCUGCCUUUGUGCGUAUGAACAAAGAUGGCCACGGUUUUCUCUGACA